rnacentral:rRNA from 1 species
GACGAACGCUGGCGGCGUGCUUAACACAUGCAAGUCGAACGGAAAGGCCCUGCUUUUGUGGGGUGCUCGAGUGGCGAACGGGUGAGUAACACGUGAGUAACCUGCCCUUGACUUUGGGAUAACUUCAGGAAACUGGGGCUAAUACCGGAUAGGAGCUCCUGCUGAAUGGUGGGGGUUGGAAAGUUUCGGCGGUUGGGGAUGGACUCGCGGCUUAUCAGCUUGUUGGUGGGGUAGUGGCUUACCAAGGCUUUGACGGGUAGCCGGCCUGAGAGGGUGACCGGCCACAUUGGGACUGAGAUACGGCCCAGACUCCUACGGGAGGCAGCAGUGGGGAAUAUUGCACAAUGGGCGGAAGCCUGAUGCAGCAACGCCGCGUGCGGGAUGACGGCCUUCUGGUUGUAAACCGCUUUCUCCUGUGACGAAGCGUUAGUGACGGUAAUGGGUAAAGAAGCACCGGCUAACUACGUG